rnacentral:piRNA from 1 species
UAAAGAUGAGGUCCAUGUGAAUUACUG